AAAUACCGUGGUGGCUUAAAACCAGGUGCAGCAUCCUG
rnacentral:ncRNA from 1 species